rnacentral:rRNA from 1 species
UACGGAGGGUGCAAGCGUUGUCCGGAAUCACUGGGCGUAAAGGGCGCGUAGGCGGCUCAUGAAGGCUGUGGUGAAAGUCCGGGGCUCAACCUCGGAUCGGCCGUGGCGACUCGUGGGCUGGAGCACUGUAGAGGCGGGUGGAAUUCCGGGUGUAGCGGUGGAAUGCGUAGAGAUCCGGAAGAACACCAGUGGCGAAGACGGCCCGCUGGGCAGUGGCUGACGCUGAGGCGCGACAGCGUGGGGAGCAAACAGG